rfam:Prevotella sp. CAG:386 genomic scaffold, scf183
GCAGUGCCCCGGCGUGUCGCUGGUCUUCAUGGUAAGACGAGAGGAAAGUCCGGGCAGCACAGAGCAUCCCACUUCCGAAAAUAGAAGCUAUUGGUGACAGUAGGUGUAGGCAGAAGAAAAUAACCGCCUUGUUGAGUCUUUAGAUGAAAGCAGGGUAAGGGUGAGAAGGUGGUGUAAGAGACCACCAGAUGACGGGUGAUUGUCAUGCUGUGUCGGCUGGGAGCUGUAAGCUCAUGUAUACCGCAGACAGAGGGUUGCUCGCCCGAGUGUCUUUUAUGGCAGCUGCGGAGGGUAGAGUGCUCAAGCCCUGGGGUGACUCAGGGAUUAGAUAAAUGACAUGCACCUGCACUUUGUUGCAGGAACAGAACUCGGCUUAUAGGGGCACUGCUUUC